GUUUUAUAUUGUUUGUCUUGUCCAACAGGUAGCCUCAAAAACACAUACACGUGACAUUCUUCAAAGCAUUUAUAAAAAGGAAUGCAAGGAUGGUACUAUUAAUAAAAAAAAUUAAAAGAUUAUUUUUUCUUGAACUAUGUGGUUUCUAGCUUGGAAAUGAAUUUGUCACAAAGGGAUUACCGCUUAAGUACAGCAUGUUGCAUAGAAAAUAAGUACUAAUUUUGGUUACUUUUUCCAAUAAACCAGGAAGAAUGUCUUACUUGCAUACACAUUAGGUGAUCAUUCAAAGGAG
rnacentral:lncRNA from 1 species